UACGGAGGGUGCAAACGUUGCUCGGAAUCAUUGGGCGUAAAGCGCACGUAGGCGGCCUGAUAAGUCGGAUGUGAAAGCCCUGGGCUCAACCCAGGAAGUGCAUUCGAAACUGCCAGGCUUGAAUAUGGAAGAGGGUCGCGGAAUUCCCGGUGUAGAGGUGAAAUUCGUAGAUAUCGGGAGGAACACCAGUGGCGAAGGCAGUGUCCUGGGGAGUACCUGACGCUCAGGUGCGAAAGCCAGGGGAGCGAACGGG
rnacentral:rRNA from 1 species